rnacentral:rRNA from 1 species
UACAGGGGGUGCAAACGUUGCUCGGAAUUAUUGGGCGUAAAGCGCGCGUAGGCGGCCACUUAAGUCGGAUGUGAAAGCCCCUGGCUCAACUGGGGAAGUGCACCCGAAACUGAAUGGCUUGAAUACAAAAGAGGGCCGCGGAAUUCCCGGUGUAGUGGUGGAAUGCGUAGAUAUCGGGAGGAACACCAGUGGCGAAGGCGGUUGCCUGGAGCUUUGCUGACGCUGAUGCGCGAAAGCGUGGGGAGCGAUCCGG